rnacentral:rRNA from 1 species
AUACGGAGGGGGCAAGCGUUGUUCGGAAUUACUGGGCGUAAAGGGCGCGUAGGCGGCUUUGUAAGUCGGAUGUGAAAGCCCAGGGCUCAACCCUGGAAUUGCAUUCGAUACUGCUUGACUAGAGUAUGGUAGAGGGAAGUGGAAUUUCCGGUGUAGCGGUGAAAUGCGUAGAUAUCGGAAGGAACACCAGUGGCGAAGGCGACUUCCUGGGCCAAUACUGACGCUGAGGUGCGAAAGCGUGGGGAGCAAACAGGAUUAGAAACCCCAGUAGUCC